GCUCUUUAUUCAACCUAUCUUUCCAAAACCCUCUAUCCACAAGUGCUUACAUAUUUUUUCUUUUAGAUGCUUUUCGAUUGUGGGCUUCUUUAAGCUAAUACACCGUGAAUAAAACUCAUUCUGUUGGAUAAAACAUCUAUGAUCGGACCGACCAUAGAAGAAAUUAUGGUCGGACCGUCAUCGACUGCCACGUUUUUUAAUCACGC
rnacentral:lncRNA from 1 species